rnacentral:rRNA from 1 species
AUUGAACGCUGGCGGAAUGCUUUACACAUGCAAGUCGAACGGCAGCACGGACUUCGGUCUGGUGGCGAGUGGCGAACGGGUGAGUAAUGUAUCGGAACGUGCCCAGUCGUGGGGGAUAACGUAGUGAAAAUUACGCUAAUACCGCAUACGAUCUAUGGAUGAAAGCGGGGGAUCGCAAGACCUCGCGCGAUUGGAGCGGCCGAUAUCAGAUUAGGUAGUUGGUGGGGUAAAGGCCCACCAAGCCAACGAUCUGUAGCUGGUCUGAGAGGACGAACAGCCACACUGGAACGGAGACACGGUCCAGACGCCUACGGGAGGCAGCAGUGGGGAAUUUUGGACAAUGGGCGAAAGCCUGAUCCAGCCAUUCCGCGUGAAGGAUGAAGGCCCUCGGGUUGUAAACUGCUUUUGUACAGAACGAAAAGGUUUCUACUAAUACUAGGAGCUCAUGACGGUACUGUAAGAAUAAGCACCGGCUAACUACGUGCCAGCCGCCGCGGUAA